AUGCACGCUGGCGGCGUGCCUAAUACAUGCAAGUCGAGCGAACAGAUGAGGAGCUUGCUCCUCUGACGUUAGCGGCGGACGGGUGAGUAACACGUGGAUAACCUACCUAUAAGACUGGGAUAACUUCGGGAAACCGGAGCUAAUACCGGAUAAUAUAUUGAACCGCAUGGUUCAAUAGUGAAAGACGGUUUUGCUGUCACUUAUAGAUGGAUCCGCGCCGCAUUAGCUAGUUGGUAAGGUAACGGCUUACCAAGGCAACGAUGCGUAGCCGACCUGAGAGGGUGAUCGGCCACACUGGAACUGAGACACGGUCCAGACUCCUACGGGAGGCAGCAGUAGGGAAUCUUCCGCAAUGGGCGAAAGCUUGACGGAGCAACGCCGCGUGAGUGAUGAAGGUCUUCGGAUCGUAAAACUCUGUUAUUAGGGAAGAACAAAUGUGUAAGUAACUAUGCACGUCUUGACGGUACCUAAUCAGAAAGCCACGGCUAACUACGUG
rnacentral:rRNA from 1 species